ACUUAAAUAAUUUAAAAUAAAAUAUUGAUUUGUGGUAUCAAAAAUAUAAGAUUACUUAUUUUAAGUU